GAUCAUGGCUCAGGAUGAACGCUAGCUACAGGCUUAACACAUGCAAGUCGCGGGGUAACAUCUGGAAGAGCUUGCUCUUCCAGGAUGACGACCGGCGCACGGGUGAGUAACGCGUAUCCAACCUGGCCCAUGCCACGGGAUAGCCCGUCGAAAGGCGGAUUAAUACCGUAUGCUGUCAUUAAGAUGCAUAUAUUGAUGACGAAAGGACUGGCGGUAUGGGAUGGGGA
rnacentral:rRNA from 1 species